rnacentral:lncRNA from 1 species
AGACUGCAUCCAGUUUUUGAACUACUUGGUCAGGUUUGGACGGUGGCCAGCCAGAUGUUAAAAGGCCCAACAACAGGAAGGGGGGAGGGAGGAUUAAGGUAGUGUAAUUGAGACACCCAAGGGCUCCUGCUUAUCAGCAAAUGAGGGCAGAUUUGAGUUUGUCAACACAAUGGAAAUGGAAUGAAAUUUCUUUUGCUCUUAAAGGUUUUGAUGAUCCCUUGGCAUCAUUUGUAAUGAAUACAGUGAUAGAAAAAGCUUAUGGAAAUAAGUUUGCACUAUACAUCUGGAAACAUUGUCAUUCUAAAGUGGUUCUUGUAAGUAAAAAUGGUAUAAUGAAGUCAAGCCUAAUAGGAUGUUAUUUCAAAAGUGAAAAUAAGGUAUGGCUAAAUGCUGGUGCUGACAAAUUACUAGGCAAGAGUGGAAUGGACAACGAAAGUUAUCUUGCUGAAUAA